rnacentral:pre_miRNA from 1 species
CAUACUUCCUUACAUGCCCAUACUGUACUGUGAAUGGAUAUGGAAUGUAAAGAAGUAUGUA